rnacentral:tRNA from 1 species
AGGUCAGUAGUUCAAUUGGUAGAGCGUCGGUCUCCAAACCCGAUUGUUGGGGGUUCGAGCCCCUCCUGCCCUGCCA